rnacentral:rRNA from 1 species
UCCGGUGGUUAUGCUGGAGGGGCAACACCCGUUCCCAUUUCGAACACGGAAGUAAAGUCCUCCAAGGCCGAUGAUACUAUGACCGCGAGGUCAUGGGAAAGUAGGACGCUGCCGGAU